rnacentral:rRNA from 1 species
GAACGCUAUCGGUAUGCUUAACACAUGCAAGUCGAACGGCAGCGGGGGGAGCUUAGCUCCCUGACGGCAAGUGGCGGACGGGUGAGUAGUACGUAGGAAUCUACCUUAUAGUGGGGGGAUAACCUGGGGAAACUCAGGCUAAUACCGCAUAAUCUUUUUUAAAAAGCAAAGCGGGGGAUCUUCGGACCUCGUGCUAUAGGAUGAGCCUGCGUCGGAUUAGCUAGUUGGUAGGGUAAUAGCUUACCAAGGCAACAAUCCGUAGCUGGUCUGAGAGGACGAUCAGCCACACUGGGACUGAGACACGGCCCAGACUCCUACGGGAGGCAGCAGUGGGGAAUAUUGGACAAUGGGGGAAACCCUGAACCAGCAAUACCGAGUGAGUGAUG